GCAUAUUCCACCAGCAGAAAGGAGGGCGAGCUAGUAACACGUUUAAGAUUAGCAUGGGAAAGUUAAAUAGCACCGUGUGCGGAAGCUGAGGAGAAAAUGCUAACACAACACAAAGGUUAACCACAUUCAAGAGAUCAAUGAAAACAGAAGGCAUGAACUUCUCAAGAAAGACUGUGUAAUCGGAAUACAGGAGAGAGCCCACACAUCCUCCACAACAUCUGCCUCCACCCAAAGGAAAGGCACACAGAUCUGGAAAAGAACAUAUGCGACACAGAGGAAAAGGAGCAGCCAAGUCCAUUGUGCCUGAAAGUUAUACAGGAGGGUGUGGUCAACACUGAGGUACAUGGACACUUCCUAAGUGGGAUACCUGGAUUGGCCACCUUACUCCUCAUGCCUCAACCUAGAAAAGCCUUCUUAACUCUACGGAGGCCCUUGUCUGCAUCCCUGCUCAUAGACCCUGCUCUUGCUACACCAGAACUCUGCUGCCUCCCAUCUUCAGCUCUCACCUACGAGCCUACCUUUCCAAAACUCACCCUGAUGCUUCCAAAACUCAUGCUCCCUGUGGUCCCUGGAAUUCAUUCUUGGAGUUUUUGAUUCAAAGGACCCAGAAGCCACUGAUCUGGGGUGGUUUUGGUAGCUGUUGAUUUUUCAGAACCCUCCCCCAGCUAUUGCCCACCUAGGUGAGACAGCCUCCAUGGCUCUCAAGGACUCCUGUUUUUCCUCUAUAUCAAGGCUUUCUGGCCACUAGACACCAAGGUCUGUGGACAAAAUGGUCCAUGUCUGCCUUUAGUCACUCCUGUCCCCUGAUCAUCUACCAUGCGUCAUCUUUCUUUGUAUUUUAGAAGUACUAAAUGAGGAGAUGAAGAACUAGGCAGAAAGUUCAAACAUUUUGGAAAUAUGCCGUAUAUAAAGUGAAAGUGGUUCUUAAGUCUCCCACCACCAAAGCCAGAUUUUACUGGACACUACCACAGUGUACAUGAGGUAUGUGUCUGCUUUCAUGAACUAUGGGGACCUCCCAAAGACAGGAAAUGCUCCCCCCCCCCCCCCCGGACACUGUCACUACAUUGGUACAUUCCUCACUCACAGCACGUCUCUGCCAUCAACACAAACACUCGUAUGUCACUGUGUUAACAGAUGAUGGAUAAACAUGUGUAUCAUCAAGGCAUAAACAGCAUCAGUCACAGUAUCUUAAUGAAGAAAAAUGAUAGGCUCAACAAGCGUGCAUGUAUGUGAACUCAAAUGAAUUAAGUAGCAAAACACAGAAACAAAUCACUGGAAUGUGUUAAAACGGAAGCGGGCAGAGCAGCACACCACCUGCUCGGCUUUCCUCACAACCAUGGCAAUGACCACAGAAAUAUUAUCGACCCUUUCUAUAGAAAAUAUAAAACUGUGAGGCAGGUACUACAUGGCAAAAAUCAGUUCUUAACAUUAUUCCAAUUGAGAGAAAUAGUGAGUAGAAACAUCAAGACCAGACUUAUUAGGACUUUGUAAGAAAUCUAAACAAGAUCCCCAAACUCAGUAAACCAUCUAAGAGUUCGGGCCUUGGUUCCUUGCUAGCUUAUGAAAGGAGCCUGGACAGAGUCAAGAAUACUCAAGUCAGUGGUUCUUAACCUAUGGGUCACAACCCCUUUGUGAGUUGAAUGACCCUUUCAUAGGAGUCGCCUAAGACCAUCAGAAAACAGAUAUUUACAUUACAAUUCAUAACAGUAGCAAAAUUGCAGUUAUGAAGUAGAAACAAAAAUAAGUCUAUGGUUGAGGGUCGCCACAGCAUGAGGAACUGUAUUAAAGGGUCGCAGCAUUAGGAAGGUUGAGAACCACUGAUUUAACUAAACCACAUAUAUGCAGUGUGGAGAAAUGUGGCAGGAACUGCUUGCUGCUUAAUAGGACACAUUCUUCCCUUCCCCCAUUGUGAUUGAAUUGUACCAAGCCGCAAGGCUUUCUGUGACGCUAACUUGAUUGUCAACUGGACUACACCUGGAGUCAACUAAAGUCCAAACCGCUGGGCAUGCCUGUGGGGGAUUUUCCUCAGAUUAUUUGAGGUGGGAAGACCCACCCUAAAUCUGGGCCACACCUUCUAGUGACAGCCCACAUAAAAGGAGGAGGCUUCAGGCUGUUUGUCUCUGCUCACUCUUGCUGGCAAGUUCAUCUUUCCUGUUGUUGAGGUAUCCUUCACCUGUAUUAGAACCUUCUUCUUCAGGGUUCCAACACAGACUGAAGAUCAGCAGCAGUCUAGGAGUCCUCUAGGACUCCAGUGCCAGAUGGUGGGACUACUGAGACAUCCAGCCUCAUGGAUGGAACAACUUCAAGAUUCUCUGUCCUUCCCUCGUGAGACAAUCACUGUUGAACUACUCAGACUAUAACCUGUCUAUUAAAUCCCCUUUUAAUGUAUA